CGUUUGAUCACAGAAGUUAAGCAUCGUAGAGCCAGGUCAGUACUUAAAUGGGGGACCGCUUGGGAACAUGGUACUGUA
rnacentral:rRNA from 1 species